UACGUAGGUGGCAAGCGUUGUCCGGAAUUAUUGGGCGUAAAGCGCGCGCAGGCGGUCUUUUAAGUCUGAUGUGAAAAGCCCACGGCUCAACCGUGGAAGGUCAUUGGAAACUGGGAGACUUGAGUACAGAAGAGGAAAGCGGAAUUCCACGUGUAGCGGUGAAAUGCGUAGAGAUGUGGAAGAACACCUGUGGCGAAAGCGGUUUUCUAGUUUAUACCUGACGCUGAGGCGCGAGAGCAAGGGGAGCAAACAGG
rnacentral:rRNA from 1 species